AGAGCUUUCGGGAAUCGCUUUUCCGUUUUACGAGAUUAUGCCGGGGAAGGUUUUCCGGUUUGCUCCGGAGGGCUUGUAGCUCAGUUGGUUAGAGCGCGCGCUUGAUAAGCGUGAGGUCGGAGGUUCAAGUCCUCCCAGGCCCACCAAUUUGAAAGUGUUUAUAACAUAUGCUUGUGAAAGAUUUGUGAUGUUUGUCCCUUUUGUUCAAGUAGUCUAGAUACGAAAUUUUUGGAACCUUUAUCCUGUUUUUGAAGGGGCCGUAGCUCAGCUGGGAGAGCACCUGCUUUGCAAGCAGGGGGACGACAGGUUC
rnacentral:misc_RNA from 1 species